GCUAAGCAACAGUGUGUGCAAGGGCCUAGUCUACAUGCUACACCUUCAGCACAGUUUUGCAGUUUUCCCUUUAAAUUUUAAAAAUCAGAUUUCAUUUUCAUCUCAGCAGCAAGAGAGAAAGAAUGAAUUGAGUACAAUAGUGGAAGAAGAUUUUGCUGUAUUUGGAAUUCAUAUUAAGGAUGUUGCUCAUGAAUAAACAAAAUGCUACUAUGAAAUGCCAGGAUUUUUGAUGUUUAUAUUUGUAAUAAGAAAAUACCUUUUGUAGGACAGAAGUAGGAAUUUUCCCUGGCUCUGGAAAAAGAGCUUUAUUUAUUCUUUAAAAGACCCUUGUGAAUCAGUCACAGUUCCUUUCUCCUUUCAGAAAAAGAGAACUCUUCAUUUAUACUUUACAUGGAAUGACCUAUAGCUGUUGAUUCCCUUCAUUUCCAGAUUAGCCAGUAGCCAGUGGCUGGGUGUGGGAUUAGUCAGCAUUCUAACCUUUUAAGAAAUCAAGAUUCCAAAGGGUUAAGGGUAACUUAUGGUUAGAUUUAGACACCACUAUUUCCCAAAAUCAUGUUUGCUUAUAUUAAAAUGAAAAAAAAAAGUUGGGUGUGUGUGUGUGGAGGAAAUGGGGGGAAAGUCAGCAGAUGGUUUUGAAAUUUUAGAAAUAACUUAUUUUAUAUUGCCUGAGGAGCUGGGGAAGGUGAAAAGAAAAUGUGUUAUUUUAUAGCUCUUAAUGAUUAGCUCUGAAAUACUGGGUGAAAUGGCAAGACUGAAUUAAAUUUAAAAUAGACAACACAUUUUUGGUGCUGGAGGGUGUAAGAGAGACAUUUUUUAAAAGAGUGGAGGCAAGGAGUAUAUCUCUUAGUUCAUUGAAAUCUGCAUUUUCUUAGCUUCAACAAAGGUUUGGUCUUGAGAUCAUACACAGAAUGUACUGGAAAGCAUGUGCAUUUUGACAGGUUUGUUGCAGUGACCACAUUGAUUGUUAGACUUUGUGCCACAAUCCUUAACUUCCUCGGUUACUAGUAGAACAUGUAGCAUUUGUUGUGUUUAGAACAGAUUUUAGAACAGUCUUGUUUUUGCCUGUAGAACAACAGCAUCUGGCCUGAUGACAAGAUUACUGAAUCUAAAGCCAGAUACCCGGAGUUCAGAUUUCAUCUCUAAUCUGCUAUCCAUGUGGCUUCAGCACCAGGUAACAUUGCUCCAGUGGUUAUAGGCUCCUUAGUCACUAAAAAGGAACUCAGUUCUGUGAAGUUCUGUGAUCUAUCUGGUUCUACCUAUUCAGAUUGAUUUUCUUUCCACUGCCUUUUGUGUUUUCUCUACACAGAAUAGUCAGAACAAGCUGAAGAUCUGAUCAUCAGCAAGAUCGUGGGAGAGGAGAUGAUUGGAUUGAAAACAAAGUGCUGAUUUGAGCUAAAAUUUACUUCAAAGUUAAAAACAAGAGAAUCUCCUAGAAGAAAUGUCAUGAAAGUGGAAUGGGCUGCUGAACACUGCAGGAGACAAUUGUGAAGUUGAUCUUUCUUUACCCAUGACAAAUUCAAAGUAUUCAGAUUAUUAAACAUUAUAGGGUUUUCUUGAGUGUGGGGGAUAGAGUGCGGAAAAAGAAAAACUUCUGUAAUGAAUUCUGACUUCUGACAAAGAAAAAUAAUUCAGCAGAAAACAGAAAUAUAGUGACUGCAUCUGAAAAUAUACACAACCUUUAUUAGUUAUUUUAGUUACUCAAUAAUUUGAGUUUAUAUGGUGUUUUUAUUUGUUGUAGUCUUUGUAGAUAUUAUUUUUUGGUUCUAUUUAUUCAACCAUAUAUCAGUUUAUAUAAAUCUACCCAUGUUUUCUUGAAUUUCUUAUAUUCAGAAUUUCUUACUGUAUAACACUUUCACAUUACAGUGAUAUUUGGUUUUUUUUUUUUUUUAGUCAGUCCUUAAUCAAUGUGAACUUACUUGAUUUCUAUUUUUUUGUUAACACAUCUUUAGGGUUGUUAAAGGUAUAUUGGUAUGGAUUAGACAGCUCCUUGUUCCUGUUUUUGAGCUCAGGAGUAGAAUUUUUGAGUCAAAACUAACAAUUUUCUUACAUAAUUCCAAAAUGAUAUAUAAAGUGGCUAGACAAAUCCAUAGCUCCUUCAGGUAUUUAAUAGUAUGCCCAUCUUUACAGAAUUCCUCUAACUUUGAUCCAUGUUUCUAAUUUAUACAAUGUGAGAUGAAAUCUCAGUUAUUCUAAUUCCUUUUUGGGAAAUAUUUUCAUAUGGACAUUUAUAAUUUAUCAUCCUUAUUUUUAAAAUAUAUAUUUCAGACUCAUUUUCACUUGUCUCUCGGUCAUAAGUCUUUCCCAACUCCAACACACUCUCUCCAUAUAGUGAUUUUUU